GCCGGCGUAGCUCAGCGGGAGAGCAGCCGCCUUGUAAGCGGAAGGUCAGGGGUUCGAAUCCCCUCGCCGGCUCCA
rnacentral:tRNA from 1 species